CAUUUGACGAGCUUCAGGAGAUGUAGCUCUAAAAUAUGUGGAUCUUCACCAAAGACUGGAGCACAAGGAAGUGUUAGUGGGCUUGUUGUUCCUGGUUUUCCCGUUCAUUCCAGCCAGCAAUCUCUUCUUCAGGGUGGGUUUUGUGGUGGCCGAGAGAGUCCUUUACAUGCCUAGUGUGAAGAAUGUGACAUACAAUAUGUGGGAUUCAUUCUGAUGCACUAUCACGUGAAUCUUCGAUGCUUCAGAGUCUCUGGAAGAGAGAUUCUUAAUUGGGACUGAAUCUCAAUGCCAAUGUUACAUCAUCAGCAAAG